rnacentral:lncRNA from 10 species
GUACAGCAAAUGCAGGCUGCCAGCUCACUACACUCCUUGCAGCAAGUUCUCACUUAAAGGGACAUCUGAGCAGGGCACCUCCCAGGCUCUCGCAUUUGAUCAGUAAAAGGACCAGAGGAACAGAGAAAACUUGAUCACCAUAAUCAAAGUAACCAGUUUACCUCCAGUUCAUACCACACUUCACCGAGGAAGACUCGUUGACUAUCACAUCCAGACUACUCUAAUAAGAAGCAUCAUAAGACCCUGGAAUAAUUUGCCCAAAGAAUCUUGGCUAUUUUCUAUCUGCUUUUGGUAAUUUCUAUAAAAAGUAAUUCUGGAAGAUGCCAAAUUUUAACUUCUAUGCAAUUCUCAUAAUUCUAUUUUCACUGUUCACUUUACAACAAAACAAGCCAAGGUGACCACACCACUCUCCAAAGGAAGAAGUUAAAACCCCUUCCCAAUAGGAUCUUGGAUUAAACUUAAGACCUGGACUUUGAGAAUGUUCAGCUCAGGGAAAUCUGACAGUAUAUGUAUCUCUCUGCUGGAUUCCACAUGUCAACAUAUACAUUUUCCAUACAGCUAUGAGUAUAUUCUACCACUAUAUGCUUAAAAUCUAGCACUGUUUUUAUUGCUCAAGAAAACCAGAAGAUAUUUAUCCUCACAUGAUAAUGGCUUCAGGACACAGGGGGCAUUGGUGAUGACCUCCAAAUGAAACACACCCAGUGCUCCACGGCCACCCUUCCCCAGCCCAGCCCUGAUGUUUCCCAGAGCAUCUUCUGGUUACACUAACUGACAGCAACUUCAGACUCGCACAUGGAAACUUACUGUUGCAGUUAGACUUUAUCAUCCCGUUGUUUCUUCCUGUGUAAUACAGAUAAUCAACCACAUGAAAACAGGGGCUGUGCAGAGCAAAUACUAUCAGAUGGUCCAUCAAAACCUACACUCAUCAACUCCAAGAAAUAUAGAUCAGCCUGUAUUUCAUCAAUCUAACCUCGCAAACCCAGCCAGUGGCUAUAUAUCUGGAUUUCUUCCUCAAUUCACAUUGCUUUUUUAUUGCUGGUUUGGGCAGUUUUUUCCACUGGAUAAGUAUUUGUGCUUAUAUAUAUUUUUUAAUUUGAUGAAAUUUCUUUGCAUGAAGUCUGAUUUUGUAUUUCAUCAUCUAAUUCUAAGAUAUCUUGCUUUAUGAACUUGAACAUGCUGCUUUUUAAGGGAAAUUAAAAAAUAACAUUACCUACUAUUUCCAGGGACUUUAUAAAUAUUAACUUGUUUAUACAUUUAAAAAGCCUACAUGAUAUUGUUGUCUCUAUUACAUAAAUGAAGAGAAUGAAAAUAAUAGAAGUUAAAUAACUUGCUCAAAACAUUACACCACUGGUAAGUGUUGUUACAGGAAUGUGAAUAGAGAUCUAUCUGGUACCAAAGCCAUGGUCUUUCCACUCCACCACACUGCCCCAUCACAGAUCUGGUUACAUUGGGAGAAUAGGAAACAUAACAAGCCUAUGAAGUACUAAGUGUUAUCAUUAAAUUAGAAUUCCACAUAAUACUUAUAACAGGAAUAAUCAGGGUUCUCCUUAUAUUUUCUCCUAAAUGUGCACAAACACAACUGUCUCAAUGUCCUCGGGAUUAAAUGAGAGUCUAUUUGAUUUAGUAAACUAUUAUUAGACAUUAUUAGAUUACAUAGAGAGAUACUAUUAUUAGAUUAUGUAGAGAGACACUAUUGUAUAUGUUCAUUGGAACUGGGGUUAAAAGACCUUUGAAAAAUCCAGCUUCUCCAUUUGAUAUCUGUGUGAAUUUGCACACAUUACUGAUUAUUCAGAGUUCUCUUAUUUGUAAAAUUGUGUU